GGCUCAUAUUUAGGACAUUAUUGUUUGUUCAGGUGCGGUCAUUUAAGAAAUCCUAAAGUUGGUGCAGCAUAACAUUUAAUUUGCGUGUGUGGACUAUGGAGUUAUCUAUAGUGGUUUUUACGUUACUAAGGUCAGAAACAUUAUUGGAUGACUGUUUGAUAAUCAGCUAAUGUAUUAAUCACAGAAAGCUGCAGUGACUGCAUUAUAUUAUGUUGCUAAACAGUUGUUCUAGCGUUUUUAAACCAGUAGUUUUAUUAAUUUCGCGCGGAAUACAGUUCAUGAAAUAAGCUCUAAAUGAAAAAAAUAACCGUUUUAAGUGAAUAAUUGUGUUCAUUGUAAAUCUGCUCAUCUAAACAUACAAGGCGGAACCAAUCGAUCACAGAGAGCGAUCGCUGCUGACACCGUCAGCAGCACUUACAUUCAGAUUACAAUAAUAUUUCACAUUAUUACAUUCAGAUUACAAUAAUAUUUCACAUUAUAAGUGUUUUUAUAUCAAAUAAAUGCAGCCUUGGUGAGCAGAAUAGAUUUAUUUAAUUAUUUAAUAUUAUUUAUAUAAUAAGGCUAGUUUGUGCAGUUACAUUAUGUCAAUUGAUCGUUAGAAGGGAUUAAAAUUGAUUGUGUUAUGUUCUGUAAUUGUUGUUAAUAAAUCUUUCAGAAGAAAGUGUGUAAAAGUUUGACUACAGUAACCAUAUCUAACCAAGCUUCAAGUACCAAGAUAAUUAUUUCAUUUAUUUCUCAUCAGAUCAACUGUUCAUUUAUGCAGUUUAUGCUUUAUUUAUAGGUAGCAUAACUGUUACCUUUUUGUUUACAGUUCUGCAUAUAUAAUAUGACAAACCUAGGAGACUUUGCUGUAAGAGAAUUAAUCAUGUUUUUGUUUUCUUUUCUCAGGUCCGGUCAGUACCCACCACCCUUCCCUGUUAACAUCACCCACAGUUUAUACUUUUUCUUAGAAAACCAACGGCUCUUUUAAGAGCCACUUCAAAAGACCCUUUUACAGCCCACGUGAUCAAAUAGCCUGCGUGCGCAUUUUGGCAACGGAAGUGAUGUUAUCUCCCAGUGGUUCUAACGUUAUUGUUGAAAUGGCUGCUGAGCAAGACAGAGGGAGAGCAGAGGGUGUUAUUUUCAUAGCAGACAUGCUUCUUGCUCAAAUCAAGGCAGAGGAACCCAAGGGCAAAGCAACAGCCAUUAAAGGGAGUACAUUUAAUGUCCGAUAGGUGGAGAAAAUGCUGAAGGACGUCCACUACUAAAAAGCAGCAGAAGUGAAGAGAUACAAAGCUUCAGCUACAGUCUGUUUAUUGCCUACAGUGAGACCUCCACAUUUCUGCACUUGUGAUCAUGCAAACAUCCAGUGUAGAGCACUUCACCUGCCCGGCAUGUACACCCAACAAUGCUCGCUCUUUGUGCAGAUGGCAACAGAAAAACCUACAGAUUCCGUCAGUCAAAAGAAAGGAGCUUCAAGCAGCCACAAACGGAGAGUUCUUUUGAACAGAUAUUGCUUGCAAGUAUUGGCCAUACCUUGAGAAGGCGUCAGUCUCCAUGUUGGAACUCAGACCUUUACUGCAGAUGAGACCUUUCCUUUCUGUCAUGCAUGCCAAGGCUCAUUCAACCAAGUGUCAGGUGUCACACAUUUGUUAGAUAAUCUGGCAAAAAUCAGGAAGGUGCUGGUACAACUGCAGUUGAGGAGGUCAAAAUGGUCAACAGCUACCUGUCUCGUUGUGGCCUCACAACCAAGUAUCUAAUUGAUGCCUAUUUAUAAUAUUUUAGGAAACCUGUCUUUAUUUUUUCACUUUUUUAUUCUUUCUGUCUAGUACUUUGAGAUUGCAUAAGAGUAAGCUGUAACUGUUCAAAGUACAUAAAAAAUUGGCAUGUAGUUCUCUCUUAAAUUUUAAACUCAAUUGUCAGUUUCUGGAUUAAUUGAAAUACGACAAGCAUUAAUGGGACCUUUCUUCCUUCAUCACAUACAUGUCUUGUUAAUAGCCAGGAAUGACAUGCUAACUGUCCAUGCUAUUGGGUGGAACCAACGGAAGCAAGAAGGCCUUCAGCAUUAUCCAGCAGAUACAUCAAGAAAGGCUGAGUCUCAGAGACGGGAAGAUUUGAGCAGUGAACUGGGGUGUCCUGAGAACAUUGUGAAUCAGUGGGUACAAGAUGUCAGACAAAAGGCUACUGAUGGAUUUGGUAGGUACCAGAUGUGAUGACCUACAUAACCUUCAGAAAUGAAUUGAACAAAUGUUUCUUAGUCUUCAUCGAAAAGCCAGCCUUUGUAAUCACACUGAAUCCAGCAACAUGUCAAAAGUGCACCUUCAAGAAGCAAAGAUCAUUGUGAUGAGGGAGAUGAGACACCACUGCACUGCACCUAUCUCAGAAGCCUGGCUAGGAACAUCAGGAAAAUGAUAUCAGAAAUGUCUUCAGGCAAAAACAGUGGCAGUUUAAGUGAAGAGUGUCAUCGCUGGCUACUGUGUCGUCUUCAGAAAAGGCUUGCAGAUGUAGAGAAGUUCCAAGUUUGCUCAAGUUACAGCCAGGCUUUAGGACAGUGUUCUUCACUCCCAACCCUGGAGAGCCGGUGUCCUGCAGACUUUAACUCCAACCUUAAUCGAACACAUCUGAAAGCUAAUCAAUGUCUUCAUGAUCUCUAGAAAAUCACAGGUAUGCGUGUGUUUGAUUAAGGUUGGAGCUAAGCUCCGCAGGACACCAGCUCUCCAGGAUUGGGAGUGAAGAACACUGCUUUAGGACCAAAUGCUGUUUCUCUGCUGGAGGAUGAGCCUGAGGAGAUACUGGAGGACCACAAAGAGCUGGAUUAUGAGAGUUCAGAUGACAUUUUGGAUUUGGAACUCUGAACUGGUGUAUGCAUUUAGACUGUGUGUCACACUGAACUGCAGGUGUGUUUCAUGGAAAACAUAAAACUAUUUGGAAAUGUAAUGGAUGUCUGAUACAGUGCUUUUAUUUUAGACAACCGUUUCCUGCAGUCUGUAAGCAACAUUAGCCUCAUAGAUUGAUGGGAAACUACUGUUAAAUAAGUUUUUGUAUGAUAAUCCAUAUCUCCGUUUACAAGCAGCAGGUUAGCUAUUAGGUUUCCCCUCCACCUCCGAUGUUUCACAGACUACUCCUACAUUCAACUGUGUUGCUACAACUUGCAAAUGCCACAAUCCUCUUGCAGUGGUUACUUCACCAAACUGUGCCCAUAUCAUCUUGUCAACAUAAUGACAUUUACUGUAGAAAAAUGUGCAAAUCUAUUUUGCCUGUGUUACAUAUGUUACUAUUAUUGUUAUAUAGUUUUAUACUGUAUCAAGUUUUUUUCACAGUGAUUGUGGAUACGUUUGGAGUGAACUAACUGUAUGUCAUUAGAUGAAAUACUUUACAUAAAUGACUGAUCAAUAGCCUACCCAUAUUUGAUGCAUGAGUUAAUACUGUUGUUACCUUUUCAAUGAAAGGAAAUGUUUUACAAUGCCAUUUUCUUGAGGUAAUUAUUAAACUGUUUCAUAUAUGUACCUGCAAAAUUGUUUGCUAAAGCGUUGUUUACUUUUCCCUGUUUUGAAAAUGAGAUGUAAAACUGCUUUAUUUAUUUAUGCCUUAAAAAUAUAUGAUAGUUUAAUACAGGGUAAAUAUUAAUAAAAACGUGUUAAUUAGUUAGUA